ACAAACGCUGGCCCAAGCCUGCAAAUUGUUGCCAGCAACUGACCCACUGGCAUUUGUUCAACUACUCAAAAAUGCACUUUGUAAACAAACCUUUUGGGUGUUAGCCACAUCAAGCGGCUCAUCUGGAUGAAAUGAAAAGGCUGUUAGAUGUAAUGCAGCAACGUGCUCCCGAUGUUGAACAUCAGUUCAAAGAAAAGUCAAAUGAGUUGGAAAUGGCGCAGUUUAUAUACGCCAGUUAUCGGAUAAGGCCAAUGUAAACCAAGGCCGCAAUUGGAUAGAGAUCUCGACGCAGACGCAAUUUAUGUACGAGCAACAGAUUAGAGACUUCCAAUUAAGUUAUGGUGCAACAAUUGACGUAUGCCAAAGAAAGGAAUUUAUGAUGGUCACAAAUAUAUUGGCAAAAACAUAGCAAGUGCAUAUGCCAAGUUGGAAAAAUUGACAAUGCUGGCUAAAAAGAAGAGUCUUUUUGAUGAUCGAAUAAAAGGUCUGAAAUUUUAAGAAAAAGCAUUUGCUUUGGUUUUAUGCAUACGGCCCUAGAUCUUUGAAAUGAAAGUUUUUGCAAAUACGAAAAUAUUUAAAAUAUCGUUAGAAUCAGCUUCAUUUUAGUUAUUGCAUUUUCGUUUUAAUGCAAAUGUGGAAAUGCUACUUACACAGAAUUAUA